CUGUUCUGAAGUGCUUGGUGCCAGACCUCUGCCACAUCCCCAGGCUAAAACUUGCUUGUGCUUUGAAGAGAAGUGGUCUGUUUAAGGUCAAUAGCCUUGGGCCAGAAAUGAAUUCUCGAGCAGAGGCCUCAGCAGGUGAUGAGAAAGGCAUGAGAACAGGCUGGAAGGAGAAUGAGGCACCGAGAGGCCCAAGCUGAAAGAAAUAAAGACUUCCAGUACAUCACCCUGACAGUAAAGAGCGAAGGAAAAGUGACGUCUGAGAACUGCAAUGUGCUCUGCUUGAAGAAAAGGAAGUUGGGUUGUGAUAAUAUAAUUCUGGAUUCCAUGGAAUGUUGUGGCUCAUGGAAGAGGCAAGAGAUAAAAGACAGAGAAACAAUAUAGUG